UUGUUUUUUUUUUUUUUUUCUGUUGUUGUAUUCUUGCUUUCUUUUGGAAUGGUUCUAAUCAAUUCCAAGUCAUUAAGCACACGCAUGAGAGCUGUCAGUGUGUAAGUGCGUUUGUGUAAGUGUGCGGCAAUUUUGUUUGAGUUAAAGCUAUGGGGCUUUAAGCGCGUUGCUGGCCAUAAAUCAGAGGCGUGACGGCGCACAAAGGGCAGCUGACAAAGCUCAAAAGCUGUGCGGCCUUGAGUGCCCAUCGAUACGAGAAGCUGCGCGUUUGCGAGUUGCCUUAAUAAAAUCAUAAAAUUUGCCUCGAGCCAACAUUAAAGGCUUUUGGCCAGCCAUAAAAACGUCGUCGUUCGCAAUCCCAAUGCCAUUUUGAUAUGCCCCACACGCGCCGCAGCUGAUAAACUGAACAGCAUCGGGCAUUUAUGGUCUCACAUGGUCGCUGGGACUCGAUACGUAAUGUAAGUGGCGUAAAUUGUGGUCAAGAGGAUGCCAGCCAUACGUGGCACAGAAACAAUGCUACAUAGCGCCAACCGAAAUUUUUUCAAAUAUGUGUAUGUGUGGCUGAUCAAUGUCCUACAGUUGCAAGCAAUUUUACGAUUUUUUAUGAGCGCGUGUGUGAGCGUGCCUGCGAGUGUAAAAUAUGACAGUUCACGUCUGCGUAUUAUAUAAAAUGUAAUUUCAGUUAACAGAAAAAUUAUAAACUGCGCCAGGACACUUUUGCACUUUCCACUUUUUCGCUUGUAA